CCCGCCCACUGAGACGACGCCCACUUCUGCAGUGAGCGCCGCUCAGCUGCCGCUUCUGGCUCAGCGCGACGCCUCAACAGCGAGCCAUGCACGAGGAGGCAUUGCUGCUGCAGUUCAACUCUCUGCACUUCUGGAAGCUGCCGCUCCCGGAGAUCGGCUCCGACGACCUCCAGACAAUCAGCGACCCCCACCAAGGGACUACCCCCCCCCAAUCUCCCCCCCCUCCCCCCGUGCUCCCAGGCCGUGCCCCCCACUCGACUCCGCGGAUCGCCGCCUCCGCCCCCCACGACUUCGGCACCGCCACCUACUGGCGGCAACCGCUGCCCGCGGUCGACCCGGCCGAGAUGGAUCAGCUGCUGGCGGGACGGGGGGCCGGGGGGGGCUCGGGGUGGGGGGCGGGGCUGAGGAGGGAGGGAGUGGGCGCUUAGCGGUGGGCCAGGAGAUGGUGACUCCCUCGCCUGGCACGCAGGGAGUCGCCAUCGCGCGACACGAUCACCGCUCGACGCGUCGUGUACCCCAUUGGCGCUGCGAACACAACGCGCAGCGUUAGAAAGAGAACAGCAGACAGAACAGGGUGGGUCCAGAUGUCUUGUGCCCCCCCCCAUUAAUUGGGCCAUAGAAUUUAAUUAUUUAUUUUAAAUUAUUUUGCAGUAAAUAUCUCUCUCAUUUUUUCACGGUGACUAAGGGAUGUUAACUACCUCGCCUGGUACACAGGAGGUCGUGGGUUUAAUCCCGACCCUGACGAUGCCUGCUGCUGUAUAUUUGGAGUUUGCAUUUCUCUCUCUCAUCAUCAUCACGGUGGCCAGGAGAUGUUAACUACCUCACCUGGUACACAGGAGGUCGUGGGUUCGAUCCCGGACCCUGACGAUGCCUGAGUGAGUGGGUGAGAUGUUAACUACCUCGCCUGGUACACAGGAGGUUGUGGGUUCCAUCCCGGACCCUGACGAUGCCUGAGUGAGUGGGUGAGAUGUUAACUACCUCGCCUGGUACACAGAAGGUCGUGGGUUCCAUCCCGGACCCUGACGAUGCCUGAGUGAGUGGGUGAGAUGUUAACUACCUCGCCUGGUACACAGGAGGUCGUGGGUUCCAUCCCGGACCCUGACGAUGCCUGAGUGAGUGGGUGAGAUGUUAACUACCUCGCCUGGUACACAGGAGGUCGUGGGUUCCAUCCCGGACCCUGACGAUGCCUGAGUGAGUGGGUGAGAUGUUAACUACCUCGCCUCGUACACAGGAGGUCGUGGGUUCCAUCCCGGACCCUGACGAUGCCUGAGUGAGUGGGUGAGAUGUUAACUACCUCGCCUGGUGUACAGGAGGUCGUGGGUUCGAUGCCUGCUGCUGCUGCUGUAUAUUUGGAGUCUGCGCCUCUCUCCCCGUGGUGGUCACAGCGUGGAUUGUUCUCCGAGUCAUCCUGUUCCCCCCACUCCACACAUUUAGAAUCAAUGUCUCUACACAAUCAGAGUAAUUUGGCUGGGGCUAUGAAUUCCCACACGACCAUGAUGAUGAUGACGAUGACGAUGAUGACGAUGAUGAUGACGAUGAUGAUGAUGA